GAUGAACGCUGGCGGCGUGCCUAAUACAUGCAAGUCGAGCGAAUGGAUUAAGAGCUUGCUCUUAUGAAGUUAGCGGCGGACGGGUGAGUAACACGUGGGUAACCUGCCCAUAAGACUGGGAUAACUCCGGGAAACCGGGGCUAAUACCGGAUAACAUUUUGAACCGCAUGGUUCGAAAUUGAAAGGCGGCUUCGGCUGUCACUUAUGGAUGGACCGGCGUCGCAUUAGCUAGUUGGUGAGGUAACGGCUCACCAAGGCAACGAUGCGUAGCCGACCUGAGAGGGUGAUCGGCCACACUGGGACUGAGACACGGCCCAGACUCCUACGGGAGGCAGCAGUAGGGAAUCUUCCGCAGUGGACGAAAGUCUGACGGAGCAACGCCGCGUGAGUGAUGAAGGCUUUCGGGUCGUAAAACUCUGUUGUUAGGGAAGAACAAGUGCUAGUUGAAUGAGCUGGCACCUUGACGGUACCUAACCAGAAAGCCACGGCUAACUACGUGCCAGCCGCCGCAGUAA
rnacentral:rRNA from 1 species